rnacentral:rRNA from 1 species
UACGUAGGGUGCAAGCGUUAAUCGGAAUUACUGCGCGUAAAGCGUGCGCAGGCGGUUUUGUAAGUCUGUUGUGAAAUCCCCGGGCUUAACCUGGGAAUGGCAAUGGAGACUGCAAGGCUAGAGUUUGGCAGAGGGGGGUAGAAUUCCACGUGUAGCAGUGAAAUGCGUAGAGAUGUGGAGGAACACCGAUGGCGAAGGCAGCCCCCUGGGUCAAAACUGACGCUCAUGCACGAAAGCGUGGGGAGCAAACAGG